GCUUGAAAGAGGUCAGGAGCUAAAGAAAGAAGAUUGAAGAUGAUUAUAUGGAAUUAUCAGUAAAUUCCUCCAUCAUUAUAGUGACGUCUAAGUGAAAAACCACAGACGAAUGCAUCUGACAGAGGAUUUCGCCAGGAGAUCAUUUCCGACAAUUCAAUCCGACAUGAAAGAGCAACAACAGUUGAAACCGACAGAAGGCUAAUCAACAGGAAGAAAGAACAAGCUAAAUCGAAACUCAGACAAGCAAACGGAGGUACCCGACUCAGCCAAAUUCGAUCCAACAAGAAAUUACCGGCGGAUUGCAUGCACAAGACUGAAACGAGAUCGAACAGCCAGCCACUCCAAUGGAGGAAGCAAUCAGACUGGCAGCAGCGGGAGGUCACCUGAUGAUGAUGGAGAAGGCGAGAGGAGAGGUGGCGGGUGGCGACGUGUCGAGAGGAGAGUGAUGAGAUUCGGUUGUGUGGCCCUGCGAUCAGUUAGCUGAUUGGGAACCCGAUCCUCAUUCCUUGGCGCGUCUCCCAAUACCCACCGCCCCCACGACAAACGGAAAC